CACGGAGACAAACCGAACAAACCACGAAGAGCUUUGAAAGCGCAAGAAUCCGACCGUUGCCUGAGUUUAUCUUCUUGUCCAAAACAGAAACUCCGAAGACUCUGUUUCCUCUCCACACAAAAAUCACAGAGAGAGAGAGAGAGAGAGAGAGAGAGAGAGAGAGAGAGAGAGAGAGAGAUCUUUGUUUCUGUAUUCCCCCAAGCAGUCUGGAAA